rnacentral:rRNA from 1 species
UACAGAGGGGGCAAGCGUUGUUCGGAUUCAUUGGGCGUAAAGCGUGCGCAGGCGGUCUGCUAAGAGAGAUGUGAAAUCCCCGGGCUUAACCUGGGAACUGCGUUUCUAACUGGCAGGCUUGAGUGUGGCAGAGGGGGGUGGAAUUCCACGUGUAGCAGUGAAAUGCGUAGAGAUGUGGAGGAACACCGAUGGCGAAGGCAGCCCCCUGGGCUAACACUGACGCUCAUGCACGAAAGCGUGGGGAGCAAACAGG